ACUUCACAUGUGGCCAUUUUAU
rnacentral:snRNA from 1 species